CUGUUUCCUGGCGCGAGCCCCGCAUUUGGCUUGCCGCGUUGGCAUUGCGUACGUGGUGUAAGAGCCGAGGCCCUCUGGGGCGCAGCGGUGCCCUCGCCCCACCACCGACUGGUGACUUACCACUUCGUCUUUCGAAAGUCUUCUCUUCUUUGGCCCUUAGGGCCAUCGACAUAUGCUGCGUAGAAUCGGAUCUCGCUACGGGAAGAGAUUCUCUUUCUUCUGCCGGAACGUGCGCGCCGUCCCGCAGCCGGAAAAGGCGGAGCGCGGUGGCGAAGACGCGUUCCUAUCCUUAUCUAAUGUGCAGGCGGUGCUGGAUGGCGUGAGUUGGUGGAAGGAGAACGCGGACUUGAACGCUGGCCUUUACAGCGCCGCAUUGGCGCGGUGCAUGUACGAGUACGUCGAGGAUGAGCUCCUUGGCGAUGCCCCGGCGAGUUCCUUUCGUCUGCUUGAGCGCGGCUACGAAAGUUGCAAGCAUAGCGAUGUGUUAGGCACGUGUACUGCCCUGGUUGCGACUCUACAAGAGCCGCAAGAGGAUAUUCAGUCGAAGGACCACUAUGAGGUGGUACUGCUGGAUGGACCAUCACUGCCGAUCGUAGGUGUCUCCACCACUGGUGGACCGCUUGCAGCCACAUAUGCUGCUUCAGCCGCUGCCGCCGCCACCGCAGCGGUCGCAGCUGCGGAUGAUACAAUGAGCAGCGCGGAAACAGCCAAGGAGUCCGCCUCUGACUCCGAUGCCGCGGCCACGCGGGUGAAGAUGACAACAGACCUGCACCAAGCCUUCGCGCGGUUUCAACGCACGGACGGCGCGGAAAACUACUUGCUGGACGUCGUCUACGUUGGCGACUGCACAAUGAUGCUGAUCCGUAACGGACGAGUAUGUUACGUUACUGAGGAGCAGGCACACCAACUGGACUACCCCUACCAACUGGGCACCGGUAGCAACGACACGCCGAAGGAUGGCGUUCGUCUUCUCAUACCAGUGGAGAAGGGGGAUGUCGUCGUAAUGGGCACCGAUGGUGUUUUCGACAACUUGUACCCGAACCGAAUAGCGGAGCUGAUAUGGCCGCAUCUGGAACGUGUCUUCUGUCAGCACGGCUAUCUGCAAGCGCUGGGCGGUGCUGCGACGGCAAAGGCAUCGGCAAACUCGGUGAGCUACGUGAAGAAUCGCAACCUUCGCACGCUUCUGGACGACAUCAUGGCGGCGCUCGACAUGAGUGCGAACGCUGUCAUGGUCGACGCUAUAGCCGUCUCUCGCGACGUGCGCUGCGACUCCCCGUACGCCUCCAAGUGCAUAGAGAAUGGCGCCCUCUUCGAGGGCGGCAAGCCAGACGACAUGACGCUGCUAAUAUCCGUGAUCGGCGAGAGCGCCGACGACGAGCCCAGCGAGCAGUUCUCCGGCAGUGAGGCGGCAUUCCCACUGCCGUACCGCGACUGGCCAUGAGCACGGAAAAGGAAAAAAAAACGCUGUGCUUUCUCUCUCCGUCAUGGGUGCGACACGACGCGCAGCAGGCAGAGAUGAACAGAGACGGAAAGUGUGAGGCGACAGUGAAUGCCAUGGUACCUACCCAGCCGGGCGGCUGCUCGAACACUAUUCGCAAACUCAGCUGGGAAUGAGGGCAUACAUCACCCUCACGUCCGUGUCUCUCUCUCUCUCUGCGUGCACAUAUGUGUCUUUCGCCAAGAGGUGAACCUGCGUGACAUCAUAACCUCGUCGACCAGCGCACCUGCCUCCUUCCCCCUUUCCCUUUGUCUCUCGCUCUCUUCAUUGUGUCUUGUUCCCUUACCCGUGUGCCGCUUCGCGCACCUGGCUGCUCGGCUCUGAAAGACCGUUCGAGGAAAUACCGACGUCUUUUACCUAGUAUACAUCCAUUUCUGUAUCUGACGUCUGUAUGUAUGUGUUCCUGUGCCUGACUCUCUCUCUCUCGUGCCCUUUUUUGUGCCCUCUUCUGCUGACCCGCGCUCACGCCUUUUUGGUCUCUUUUCUUGUUGCCCCGUCUCUUGCGCUUUCUUGCUCUCCCUGUGACGAUGCUGUGUAUCCGCCCUCCUUGCUCCAUAUCACACUCGCGCAAUGAAGGAUGUGCGUAGGUGCAUGUCGUUGAGCCCAUAGGUAUGUUUGUGUGUUCUUAGUUGAUCUAGGAGACAAGAGAGGAGAGGGAGGGAGGGGGGGGGUCAGGGCGCCGGCGGGCGGUGUGUGUAAAGUGGGGUGUGCGGAGGGUGGUGGGAGAAGCAGAAUGACAUGCCAGCGGCAGGCUACGUGAGCGAUUCGCUAUGCCGUCCUUCUGUUGCUGCCUCUGUUUGUACUCUGUACUUCCUCUCCUUCACCUUUCUCCCUUCGCCCGCCGCUGUUCGGUCGUCUUUGAGCGACCGUGACGCAGCGAGCGCGUAGCUCACGAAGGCCUCCCCUGCGCUCGUUUCUGCUCGAUUCCAGCCGCCCCUCUGGCUCUCCUCUCUCCUCGCUUUCCGCUUUGUCGUGUUUUUUUUUUCGUCUUCAAUCGACCGCGUGAUGGAGGCGGAAGCACCCCUCAGCGCGUCGUGUCGCAGGGCCCAGCACACACACCACUCUGUGUGUGUGUGUGUGUGUGUGUGUGUGUGUGUGUGUGUGUGUGUGUGUGUGUGUGUGUGUGUGUGUGUGUGUGUGUGUGUGUGUGUGUGUGGCUGUGGGGAAGCGAGCCAGCCCCCCAACCCCUAAACCCCUGCCAAGUGCCCCAGCCACCUCGGGUGGUGGCGGGGCCCAGCACCGACGACGUAGGGGAGGUCAGAGCGAUGUAUCGCUGCUGAUGUCGCUGCCGAGGUUGUGGAGGGCGUGGCGCCGGAGCGGCCAGCGUGGCUCGAACACAUCUCCCCCCUCUCCCUCCCCCUCCGGGGCCCUCACUCUGCCCAGCGGUGCAGGGAGCCUGCACCACUCUCAAGGAGGGUGCGGCUGUGUAGCGCUUGGGACGGAGGCCGUACCCAGAUGGCUGUGUUGGCGCAGUGCUGUACCGUGUAUGCCUACCGCUGCCUCGCGCCAGGCCAUGUGGGCCGGUGUGACGGGGCCGGCUGGAGGGGAGUGGAGUGGCGUGCAGCUCGCGUUGCACGGGCAGAGCAAGGUGCACACGAUGAAACAAAACAGAGCAGAGAAAUACAACAAGAGGUCUCUUUAUCGCUGGUAUCUUCUCCAUCGUUUUUUUUUUCCCGUCCGAUGCGUGCUUCUGUCUGUCUGUGCCUUUGUGUGUGCGCCCCCGAGCGGGUCUGAGUCUGUCUUGUGUGAGUGAUAUCAUGCUAAGUGGCUAACCACAAGCAACAAACAACAAAAAACAAGAACAGGGAGAAGGGUGAGAACGAUGUAGGUCUCGUCUGUCUCCGCCGUUUUUUUUUUUUGUCAACGUGUGCUUCUGCUCUCCUCGCCGUCCCCUACUUUUUUUUUACCGGCCCUCCCUCUGCCCUCUCUCGCAGGUAGGUGUGGGUGGGAGCAUCCCUCGUCAACCAGGGAAGCGAAGUGUGUCUCUCAGUGGUUACAGUCGCAUCGUGCACGCUCCAGAAGCACCCAUACUCAUCUCUCUCGAUAUUGUCAUGAUACAACUUUUUGCUCUUUUUUUAUUCCACUUUACUGUGCCUGGGAAGGAGCUCAGAAGACGAGGAGUUGAGUACAGAAGCACGUGAAUGCCACAAAGGGCGCAAUGAAACCUCCUCUGAGACUGGGGAGGGAGAGGUAGGUGUGGGCGUGAGUGUGGGGAGCUCUCGACACGAGCUGAGGUAUUCUGGCAGGACCGCAGGAAGAGCAGCUCAAGCACGCACACUCACGCAAAGGGAGCGAAUGCGGCCAGAUUGGCACCAGAGAAGAGCCGCGGCGUUUUUCUUUUUUCUUCUCGAUCCACAUGAAGAGACUUGGACUCAUCUGCGAAGCAGCGCCCCUGUUUCGCUUUCGUUCCCUCCCUCUUAUUUUUUUUUUCGUAUAUUGCAAAGGACCUUACCGGCUUUUCUGCACGCAUACGCCUGCAUGGCCCAUUUUUUCGUGUGUGCGUGUGCGCCUUUGUUUUGUUUUGUCCAUUUAUACUGUCAUCGGCGGGAUGGGCGACGCUGCGGCGACAACCUCUUCAGGGCACUCACACUACGGCUCAAGUACAGCUGAUGGCGGAGGGGCAGCUGGGGAGUGAGGAAAAGAAAAUAAGAGGAGGGGGGCAGUGCAGACUCGUUCUUCUCCGCACAAGCGUUUGACGAGGCAGCUACGAGCUUACAGUGGGUUGGUGAAGAGUGCGUGUGCUUGU
rnacentral:misc_RNA from 1 species